rnacentral:rRNA from 1 species
GUGAACCUGCGGAAGGAUCAUUGUCGAAACCUGCAAAGCAGACCGCGAACACGUUCACAAACAACGCCCGGUGCCGCGGAGCGGGGGCGACCCCGCGACGCGGCCCCGGCCCAACGAACUCGGGCGCGGAACGCGCCAAGGAAAACGAAAUGGAGCGUCCCCCCUCCCCGGAGCGCACCCGUCCGCGGGGCGCCGGGGGGGCGAGGGGACGCCUAUCGAAUGUCUAAACGACUCUCGGCAACGGAUAUCUCGGCUCUCGCAUCGAUGAAGAACGUAGCGAAAUGCGAUACUUGGUGUGAAUUGCAGAAUCCCGUGAACCAUCGAGUCUUUGAACGCAAGUUGCGGCCGAAGCCAUUAGGCCGAGGGCACGCCUGCCUGGGCGUCACGCAUCGCGUCGCCCCCCUCCCCCCCCGUCUCGCGCGGGGUGGGUGCCGGGGCGGAGAUUGGCCCCCCGUGCGCAGCGAUGCGCGCGGCCGGCCCAAACCCGAAUCCGCCGUCGACGCAGCGUCGCGACCAGUGGUGGUUGAACGCUCAACUCGCGUGCUGUCGCGUCCCGAUGCGCCGCCGGCCCGGAGAGGAAGGACCCAACGGAGCGAUCGCGAAUCGCGCCCACGACCGCGACCCCAGGUCAGGCGGGAUCACCCGCUGA